UCGGGCGUAGCUCAAUCGGCAGAGCGGGUGGCUGUUAACCACUAGGUUACAGGUUCAAGUCCUGUCGCCCGAGCCA
rnacentral:tRNA from 1 species